GCCUGUGAUGAAACAUCCAAAUUAUGGAGGUGCAGAGGGCUCCAAGUCCCUGUUUUGCAGGGUGAACCUCUUGUAGCUGCUGCAUUCAGAUGACAUUUCUGGAUUUUCUGAGGC